UCCCGUGUGGCUCAGUUGGUAGAGCAUGGUGUUUGCAAUGCCAAGGUUGUGGGUUUGAUUCCCACGCGGGAC
rnacentral:tRNA from 1 species